rnacentral:rRNA from 1 species
CUAAACUGAGGAAAGUCGACCGAUACUGAUCGGCUAGAGGGACGUAGAGGUAAGCGGAACUCUCGGAGUAGCGGUGAAAUGCGUAGAGACCGAGAGGUACCCCGAUGGUGAAGACAGCUUACUGGGCGUCUCCUGACGCUGAAGCGCUAAGGCCAGGGGAGCGAAGGGGAUUAGAUACCCCCGUAGUCCUGGCUUCAAACGAUGUGGGCUUGGUGUCGGCUCCCGAUAGAGAGUCGUUGCCGGAGCUAACGUGUUAAGCCCACCGCCUGGGGAUUACGUCCGCAAGGAUGAAACUCAAGGGAAUUGACGGGGGCCCACACAACCGGUGGAGCACGUGGUUUAAUUCGAUGAUAAGCGAAGAACCUUACCAGGGCUUGACCUAGCGGUAGUAGAACCCUGAAAGGGGAACGAACCGGAGCUUUGCUUCGGGAGCC